AGACCGUGAUGUGGAGAUUUCAUGAAUAGCUCCUUGAACCUUUCCCAUGUCUCGUACAAUGAUUCCCUAUCGUCUUGAGAGUAGGAGUUAAUCUCGGUCAUGAGUUU
rnacentral:snoRNA from 1 species